rnacentral:rRNA from 1 species
AGAGUUUGAUCCUGGCUCAGGAUGAACGCUGGCGGCGUGCCUAAUACAUGCAAGUCGAGCGAACGGACGAGAAGCUUGCUUCUCUGAUGUUAGCGGCGGACGGGUGAGUAACACGUGGAUAACCUACCUAUAAGACUGGGAUAACUUCGGGAAACCGGAGCUAAUACCGGAUAAUAUUUUGAACCGCAUGGUUCAAAAGUGAAAGACGGUCUUGCUGUCACUUAUAGAUGGAUCCGCGCUGCAUUAGCUAGUUGGUAAGGUAACGGCUUACCAAGGCAACGAUGCAUAGCCGACCUGAGAGGGUGAUCGGCCACACUGGAACUGAGACACGGUCCAGACUCCUACGGGAGGCAGCAGUAGGGAAUCUUCCGCAAUGGGCGAAAGCCUGACGGAGCAACGCCGCGUGAGUGAUGAAGGUCUUCGGAUCGUAAAACUCUGUUAUUAGGGAAGAACAUAUGUGUAAGUAACUGUGCACAUCUUGACGGUACCUAAUCAGAAAGCCACGGCUAACUACGUGCCAGCAGCCGCGGUAAUACGUAGGUGGCAAGCGUUAUCCGGAAUUAUUGGGCGUAAAGCGCGCGUAGGCGGUUUUUUAAGUCUGAUGUGAAAGCCCACGGCUCAACCGUGGAGGGUCAUUGGAAACUGGAAAACUUGAGUGCAGAAGAGGAAAGUGGAAUUCCAUGUGUAGCGGUGAAAUGCGCAGAGAUAUGGAGGAACACCAGUGGCGAAGGCGACUUUCUGGUCUGUAACUGACGCUGAUGUGCGAAAGCGUGGGGAUCAAACAGGAUUAGAUACCCUGGUAGUCCACGCCGUAAACGAUGAGUGCUAAGUGUUAGGGGGUUUCCGCCCCUUAGUGCUGCAGCUAACGCAUUAAGCACUCCGCCUGGGGAGUACGACCGCAAGGUUGAAACUCAAAGGAAUUGACGGGGACCCGCACAAGCGGUGGAGCAUGUGGUUUAAUUCGAAGCAACGCGAAGAACCUUACCAAAUCUUGACAUCCUUUGACAACUCUAGAGAUAGAGCCUUCCUCUUCGGGGGACAAAGUGACAGGUGGUGCAUGGUUGUCGUCAGCUCGUGUCGUGAGAUGUUGGGUUAAGUCCCGCAACGAGCGCAACCCUUAAGCUU